AGUGAACGCUGGCGGUAGGCCUAACACAUGCAAGUCGAACGGCAGCACAGUAAGAGCUUGCUCUUACGGGUGGCGAGUGGCGGACGGGUGAGGAAUACAUCGGAAUCUACUUUUUCGUGGGGGAUAACGUAGGGAAACUUACGCUAAUACCGCAUACGACCUACGGGUGAAAGCAGGGGAUCUUCGGACCUUGCGCGAUUGAAUGAGCCGAUGUCGGAUUAGCUAGUUGGCGGGGUAAAGGCCCACCAAGGCGACGAUCCGUAGCUGGUCUGAGAGGAUGAUCAGCCAAACUGGAACUGGACCACGGUCCAAACUCCUACGGGAGGCAGCAGUGGGGAAUAUUGGACAAUGGGCGCAAGCCUGAUCCAGCCAUACCGCGUGGGUGAAGAAGGCCUUCGGGUUGUAAAGCCCUUUUGUUGGGAAAGAAAAGCAGCAGGUUAAUACCCCGCUGUUCUGACGGUACCCAAAGAAUAAGCACCGGCUAACUUCGUG
rnacentral:rRNA from 1 species